AUUGGAUUGGAAUGAUGAUGUUGCGAUGCUGUCUUGAUUGCUUCUAGGAAAGCGCUAGAAAGAUUGAAUAUUCAAAUCAUUGACGCGCUUGGAAGUGACAAGAUGAACGCCCCC
ensembl:ncRNA T19C11.2 ncRNA